CCUACGGGAGGCAGCAGUGGGGAAUAUUGGUCAAUGGACGAAAGCCUGACCCAGCCAAGCCGCGUGAAGGAUGAAGGUCCUCUGAGUUGUAAACUUCUUUUGUAAGGGAGUACAACCAGGCUCGUGUGCCUUAUUGCAUGUACUUUAUGAAUAAGGAUCGGCUAACUCCGGGCCAGCAGCCGCGGUAAUACGGAGGGUGCGAGCGUUAUCCGGAUUUAUUGGGUUUAACGGGAACGUAGAGGGGAUGUUAAGUCAGUUGUGAAAGGUCGUGGCUCAACCGACAAAGUGCAUUUGAUACUGGCAGUCUUGAGUGUAUGUGAGGUAGGCGGAAUUCGAGGUGUAGCGGUGAAAUGCUUAGAUAUCACGAAGAACCCCGAUUGCGAAGGCAGCUUACU
rnacentral:rRNA from 1 species